rnacentral:rRNA from 1 species
CCUACGGGAGGCAGCAGUGGGGAAUAUUGCACAAUGGGGGAAACCCUGAUGCAGCGACGCCGCGUGAGUGAAGAAGUAUUUCGGUAUGUAAAGCUCUAUCAGCAGGGAAGAAAAUGACGGUACCUGAUUAAGAAGCCCCGGCUAACUACGUGCCAGCAGCCGCGGUAAUACGGAGGCGGCAAGCGUUAUCCGGAUUUACUGGGUGUAAAGGGAGCGUAGACGGCAGCACAAGUCUGGAGUGAAAUGCCGGGGCUUAACCCCGGAACUGCUUUGGAAACUGUGCAGCUUGAGUGCAGGAGAGGUAAGUGGAAUUCCUGGUGUAGCGGUGAAAUGCGUAGAUAUUAGGAGGAACACCAGUGGCGAAGGCGGCUUACUGGACUGUAACUGACGUUGAGGCUCGAAAGCAUGGGGAGCAAACAGGAUUAGAUACCCCAGUAGUC